UACGUAGGGUGCAAGCGUUACUCGGAAUUACUGGGCGUAAAGCGUGCGCAGGCGGCUUUGCAAGACAGAUGUGAAAUCCCCGGGCUUAACCUGGGAACUGCAUUUGUGACUGCAUGGCUGGAGUGCGGCAGAGGGGGAUGGAAUUCCGCGUGUAGCAGUGAAAUGCGUAGAGAUGCGGAGGAACACCGAUGGCGAAGGCAGCCCCCUGGGCCGACAUUGACGCUCAGGCACGAAAGCGUGGGGAGCAAACAGG
rnacentral:rRNA from 1 species